rnacentral:rRNA from 1 species
UACAGAGGUCUCAAGCGUUGUUCGGAUUCAUUGGGCGUAAAGGGUGCGUAGGCGGCGCGGUAAGUCGGGGGUGAAAUCUCGGAGCUUAACUCCGAAACUGCAUUCGAUACUGCCGUGCUUGAGGACUGGAGAGGAGACUGGAAUUUACGGUGUAGCGGUGAAAUGCGUAGAUAUCGUAAGGAAGACCAGUGGCGAAGGCGGGUCUCUGGACAGUUCCUGACGCUGAGGCACGAAGGUCAGGGGAGCAAAACGGGAUUAGAACCUACCAGU